rnacentral:ribozyme from 1 species
UCCGAACUCUAACGAGAUCAUUGACGAUAGUUGGGGUGACAUUAGUUCCUUUCUCGUUCUCUCUGAAGUCAGCAACGAUCUUCGAAUAGGAGCCAUCUUCUCAGACGACGACGAUGAAGAAGAAGAUGAGGAA